rnacentral:rRNA from 1 species
GAGGAAGUAAAAGUCGUAACAAGGUCUCCGUUGGUGAACCAGCGGAGGGAUCAUUACUGAGUUUACGCUCUAUAACCCUUUGUGAACAUACCUAUAACUGUUGCUUCGGCGGGUAGGGUCUCCGCGACCCUCCCGGCCUCCCGCCUCCGGGCGGGUCGGCGCCCGCCGGAGGAUAACCAAACUCUGAUUUAACGACGUUUCUUCUGAGUGGUACAAGCAAAUAAUCAAAACUUUUAACAACGGAUCUCUUGGUUCUGGCAUCGAUGAAGAACGCAGCGAAAUGCGAUAAGUAAUGUGAAUUGCAGAAUUCAGUGAAUCAUCGAAUCUUUGAACGCACAUUGCGCCCGCCAGCAUUCUGGCGGGCAUGCCUGUUCGAGCGUCAUUUCAACCCUCAAGCUCUGCUUGGUGUUGGGGCCCUACAGCUGAUGUAGGCCCUCAAAGGUAGUGGCGGACCCUCCCGGAGCCUCCUUUGCGUAGUAACUUUACGUCUCGCACUGGGAUCCGGAGGGACUCUUGCCGUAAAACCCCCCAAUUUUCCAAAGGUUGACCUCGGAUCAGGUAGGAAUACCCGCUGAACUUAAGCAUAUCAAUAAGCGGAGGAAA